CUUCUAAAAGAUUACGAUUUUCAGAUCAUUUAUCACCCUAGGAGAGGAAAUGUAGUCACCGAUGCACUAAGCCGAAAAGGAGCCUGCUGUGCUAGCGCAAACCAUGGCCUCCUGUUGGAAGAUGAUGGACAUUGUACAAUCGCUCUGCCUUAGUUAUUACAGUAAGGACACCUAUCUCGCCCAGAUCUGAGCCAUAUCGAAUCUCUUUAUAAAGAUCUGGGAAGCACAGGCCACGAACCCAAAACUCACCAAGAAUUUAGGUAAGUUCACUUCUGAUGAAUCUCUUGAUUUCAUGAUCUAGGAUGAUAGACUAUUCAAAUUCUGAAAUCAAAUUUGGGUCCCCAUUGCUGUAUG
rnacentral:lncRNA from 1 species